UUAUUUAAAAAUAAAUUUGUUUCUUUCAAAUAGAAUACCAAGCUUGGUCUGUGACAUUUGGGAGAGAAAUUAAAAUAUUAAACUUUUAUUGCCUAAUAAACUUAAAAUAAAGGUUAAAUAAAUACAAAGUAGAAAAAAUAUAUGUACAAAAUCACAACCUCUAAAAGAAACAGACAGUCCACUGUUCUCUACUGUGGGAGUUUUAUCAGCGCCAGCAAUUCCACCUGUAGGGCAGUGCCAGUCCUCAGAAAUGUAAACAAAUAUGUACUUUGUUUAUAUAAAGAAAUACGUAGCAUGGCUUGUAUUUCUUUAUAGAUAUCACACUGCUAAAUGGAUUGUUUCAAGGCACCAGUAGGGGCCAGCAAAGAGCUCUUAAGAGUUUUUCAGAACAGAAUUGGCAUUGAGAUAUGUUUAUUUGAUGUGUUAAAUCCUUUUUAGACUUCUUUACUUACCACAGCACUCUUGUAAGUGAAUGGAUUGCAGAGACAGUAGAAUAAAAUAUCCUAUGUGCUCAGAAUAUAUUGGGGUAUAGUUCUUCUGCCUAAUCUGCAUAUAUUUUGAAAGGAAUGUUUGCUUAGGCUGUUUCUUGGCAGAGUUUUAAUAGUCAAAAUACGAACGGCAUCAUUUAAAGACUGUACCACUUGGCUCGAAAAGAGCUUAAAAUUUCAGCAGAAAAUGCUUGGUGACAGCUUCUCAAACUUUUUUUUUUCUCAGACCUAUGCUCCAUUCUUACAAUAGCAUUACCAGGCUGGUUUCAGAAUGUAAUCCUUAAGCUUUCGCUUUUUAUAACUGGUAUUUGGAAGCUGAAGUACUUAUCUGUUUGAUUUAAUGCUAAAAGUUUAAUUCACUCCCCAAGUUUGGGUGUUUCCAAGUUUAUACAACUGUUUGAAUUUUCUUGUUAAACGUUUGUUAACAGCCCGGGUUCUUUCUACAUUAACUAACUUGACUAGAUUCCUAGUAUGGCUACUAUUUGGAAAUUCAAUCUUUGAUUUGAUACUCAAUUACAUGGGCUUUCAUUCCUACCAACUUCCUGUAAUUCUAUACCUUUGGGUAAAAAUAUUAGUGGCCAAACUGCUGGAGAAGGUAAAUGCACUGUGAUUCACAGAGUUAAAUGUUCAUUUAGUAGAGCUGGGGUGAAAAAACACUGUUUCGACUUGAAAUGCUAGAAGAUUGUUGUUCUUGUGUUACUCAUUCAUGCAAAUUGGAGAAGGUAUAAUUGAAACAAGGUUGGCUGUGUUUGAGUCAGUGUGCUGCAGCUGAGCUCAGCUUAAAGGUCGCUGGAAAUCGAGUGCUUUGUAAGUGAAGGCAUUUUGACUACAAGCGAUUCAAGACAUUUUGGAAUCGUCAGUCUCAGGAAUGGGCCGUCUUUUUCCUCCUGUGAUAUCUGGUAUCUAAUGGUUUACUGAGGGUAAAGGCUACUGCUUCGUGGCUCUUUCAGGCACCACCAAUGAUUUUUUCUUUUGCUGCGGUGCAGCUGCUUCUAGCCUGUCUCCCGACAGAGAUCUUUGUUAUGACUUUCAGCCCUUAACAUGUUUGGAAAUGAGAACAAAUGGCACAAAGCUUACGAUUGCACUUUGCAGCCAGAAGAAGUAAUACUUACCCUUUGUCAGAGACCUCCGGAGAUGAUUUGGAUAGCCAUGUCCACAUGUGCUUCAAAAAACCAACACGGAUUUCAGCGUCUAACGUGGUGCAAAUGAAGCUGACUCCCAGACAGACUGCCCUAGCUCCAUUAAUAAAGGAAAGCGUUAAGGCUCAGGAAAGAUCAUCUGUUCCUGCAUCUGAAAAUGUUAAUAAAAAGAGCAGCUGUCUACAGAUUUCGCUGCAGCCAACAAGGUACAGUGGAUGUCUUCCGUCUUGCAGUGUCUUGGCUGAUGGUGAUGAUGUGUCUUCGUUUGCUCGUGUCUUGAAGGAUGACAUUGACAGCAGUGCUGUGGUUGAUAAUGAACUAAGUGCUGUGAGUGAUGGCAGCCUUUUGAGCAGUUCUGCCAUUUGCAGUGGUAGCCUCAGUAACUUUUCAGUCAGUGAUAAUGGAUCUUACAGCAGCACCGGUAGUGAUUAUGGGUCAUGUGCAAGUAUCACAAGUGGAGGGUCGUACACGAACAGUGUCAUCAGCGACAGUAGUGGUUAUACUUUUCCCUCAAGCGAUGAUACUUUUUUUGGUGGAAAUUUAUAUUCUGACAGCACCUCCAACAGAAGUGUGCCAAACAGGAAUACUACUCCCUGUGAAAGUUUUUCAAGAAGUACAAGUACUGUUCCUUUUGUCCAGGAUGACUUGGAGCCUGGAAUAGAGAUUAUGAAAUUGCCAUUGAGCAGGAACCCGAAAAUUCCACUCAAGCGCUGCUCAUCCUUAGUGAUUUUUCCUAGGAGUCCUUCAAGUACCCCACCAGCUUCUCCAACAACCACAGGUACUCUUCCAAGCAAAGGCUCCUAUCAAACUUCUCACCAGUUGCUCGUGUCUCCUAGUGAAAUUGCACAUAAUGAAGAUGGUACUAUUUCUAAGGGAUUUCUUUCCACAGCCGUCAAUGGACUUCGGUUAUCUAAAACAAUUUGCACUGCUGGAGAAGUGAGAGACAUCCGGUCGCUUCAUGGGAAGGGCUCAUUGCAGAAGAAAAUUGUCCUUUCAAAUAAUAGUCCGAAACAGACUGCCUGUGAGAAGUCGCCUGAAGGAUAUUCUUGCCUUUCAGUGCAUUUCACCCAACACAAGGUGACCACAGUAGAUGGCAAAACUACGAGUGGUCAUUGUAAACCAGAGAAGUCGGGAGUUAAGCUUAAUUCCGAUUCAGAAUGUAGCAAGCUUGUGCACAAGACAUCUGCAUGUUUGCCAUCCUCCCAAAAUGUAGAUUACCAAGUAAAUGUCAGUGGAGAGUUGGAAAGACCAAAUUCACAGAUAAACAAAAGCCAUGCCAUUUUACAAAGGAGUAUUUCAUUGGGAGGAACUUAUCCAAAUAUUGCCUGUUUAUCCAGCCUUAAGCACAAUUGUUCUAAGGGGGGACCAUCUCAAUUACUCAUAAAGUUUGCAUCUGGAAAUGAAGGUGAAGUUGACAGUAGAGAUGUCACAAGUGAACUGUCUAAUUCUUGUAAGACAAGAGAUGAUUUCCUAGGUCAAGUGGAUGUUCCUCUUUAUCCAUUACCGACAGAAAAUCCCAGAAUGGAGAGACCAUAUACAUUUAAGGAUUUUGUUCUUCAUCCAAGAAGUCACAAAUCAAGAGUUAAAGGUUAUCUGAGAUUAAAAAUGACUUACUUACCUAAAACCAGUGGCUCAGAAGACGAUAACGCAGAACAGGCUGAGGAAUUAGAGCCUGGCUGGGUUGUUUUGGACCAACCAGAUGCUGCUUGCCAUUUGCAACAGCAACAGGAGCCUUCCCCUCUGCCUCCAGGAUGGGAAGAGAGGCAGGAUAUCCUGGGAAGGACCUACUAUGUAAACCAUGAAUCUAGAAGGACACAGUGGAAGCGACCAACCCCUCAGGACAGCCUAACAGAUGCUGAGAAUGGUGACAUGCAGCUGCAAGCCCAGCGUGCGUUCACCACCAGGAGGCAGAUAUCCGAGGAAACAGAAAGUCCUGAGAACCGAGACUCUUCCGAGAACUGGGAAAUUAUAAGAGAGGAUGAAGCCGCCGUGUGCGGCAGUCAGGCCUUCCUGUCGCCUGCACCAUCCAGGAGCGCGGAUGUUCAGACUCAUCUUGCGGACGAACUGAAUGCCAGACUUGCUGUCUCUGGAAAUUCAGCCACUAGCCAGCCGGGAUCCAGCUCAAAUCAUUCCAGCAGAAGAGGCAGCUUACAAGCCUACACUUUUGAGGAACAGCCUACGCUUCCUGUGCUUUUGCCUACUUCAUCUGGACUACCACCAGGUUGGGAAGAAAAACAAGACGAAAGAGGACGAUCAUACUACGUAGAUCACAAUUCCAGGACAACAACCUGGACAAAGCCUACUGUACAGGCCACAGUGGAGACCAGUCAGCCGUCAUUAAGCCAGAGCUCGCCCGCCGGCCCCCAGGCGCAGGUGCCUCCCGGAGACUCGGCACAGCAGGUGCCCCAGCUGGCGGAAGUGGAGCAAGGAUUCCUCCCCAAGGGCUGGGAAGUCCGGCACGCGCCCAACGGGAGGCCGUUCUUUAUUGACCACAACACCAAAACCACCACCUGGGAAGAUCCAAGAUUGAAAAUUCCAGCUCAUCUGCGAGGAAAGGCACCACUUGAUUCAUCCAGCGAUCUGGGGCCUUUACCUCCAGGAUGGGAAGAGAGGACUCACACAGAUGGAAGAAUAUUCUACAUAAAUCACAAUAUUAAAAAAACACAAUGGGAAGACCCUCGGUUGCAGAAUGCAGCCAUCACCGGACCAGCAGUGCCCUACUCCAGGGAUUACAAAAGAAAGUAUGAGUUCUUCCGAAGAAAGUUGAAGAAGCAGAAUGACAUUCCAAACAAGUUUGAGAUGAAGCUCCGCCGGGCCACCGUGCUCGAGGACUCCUACCGGAGAAUCAUGGGCGUCAAGCGAGCAGACUUCCUCAAGGCCCGGCUCUGGAUUGAGUUCGACGGUGAAAAGGGGUUAGAUUAUGGAGGCGUCGCCAGAGAAUGGUUCUUCCUGAUCUCAAAGGAAAUGUUUAACCCUUACUAUGGGCUGUUUGAAUAUUCUGCUACGGACAAUUACACCCUACAGAUAAAUCCAAACUCUGGGUUGUGUAAUGAAGAUCACCUCUCUUACUUCAAGUUCAUUGGCCGAGUGGCUGGGAUGGCAGUGUAUCACGGCAAGCUGUUGGAUGGUUUUUUCAUUCGCCCUUUUUACAAGAUGAUGCUACACAAACCGAUCACACUUCAUGAUAUGGAGUCAGUGGAUAGUGAAUAUUACAACUCACUAAGAUGGAUUCUUGAAAAUGACCCAACAGAACUGGACCUCAGGUUUAUCAUAGAUGAAGAACUUUUUGGACAGACACAUCAACAUGAGUUGAAAAAUGGUGGAUCAGAAAUAGUUGUCACCAAUAAGAACAAAAAGGAAUAUAUUUAUCUUGUAAUACAAUGGCGGUUUGUAAACCGAAUCCAGAAGCAAAUGGCUGCAUUUAAAGAGGGAUUUUUUGAACUGAUACCACAGGAUCUCAUUAAAAUUUUCGAUGAAAAUGAACUAGAGCUUCUUAUGUGCGGCCUGGGAGACGUGGAUGUGAAUGACUGGAGAGAACAUACGAAGUAUAAAAAUGGCUACAGCAGCAGUCAUCAAGUGAUACAGUGGUUUUGGAAGGCUGUUUUAAUGAUGGAUUCGGAGAAAAGAAUAAGAUUACUUCAGUUUGUUACUGGCACAUCCCGUGUGCCUAUGAAUGGAUUUGCUGAACUAUAUGGCUCAAAUGGACCACAGUCGUUCACAGUUGAACAGUGGGGUACCCCCGAAAAAUUGCCAAGGGCUCAUACCUGCUUUAAUCGCUUGGAUUUGCCACCCUAUGAGUCCUUUGAAGAAUUAUGGGAUAAGCUUCAGAUGGCCAUUGAAAACACUCAGGGUUUUGAUGGAGUUGAUUAGAGUACAAAUAACCAUCUAUGGUGUUUUUACUGUCGCAGUUUUAUAAGCAGAAUUUUCCAGGGAACUACUAAAAGUUGGCCGCUGGUUGGAGAAAAUCAUCAUUAGAAUAAAUAGUAUGACAACUAUACCAUUAUUUCAAUCACUCAGUGUGUUGCACAGACACAGUUGUUGCAUUCUAUCUUUAGAGGUCACGCUAUAGGAUCUAAGUCCUUGUGUGCCUGAAACAGUGAGUUUUGUCCUUAACAUUUACCUCUUUUACAGUAUUUGCCAGGCAGUUCUUUCUUAAACUACUGAAAUUAUAACUGUGAAAUAUUUGUGAUAACUGUCAUGUGUGAAAAGUUUGAUGCUUUUUGAAAAGGAAACCUAAAAUGGGGGGAGGAUGCUUUAAUAUUGAGUAAACUACAAUAUAUUUACUGCUAUUCAUAGCUAUUUAUUAUUUUGUAGCCCUGCCUUAUGCACCUUACUGCCCAGAUUUUUAGGAAAAAAAAAAAAAACUUGGAAAGUGCAUUACCUAUAUUUUUAGUCAACUGACUCACUUGCAAAAAAUUGUUUACUUCACUGUAAAAGUAUUUGGCUUGUGUUAAUAGGCAGUUUUACUAAACAAGGUGGCUCAUGAGACAUGUGAAGCAAAUUCUUAUUUGCAAUGGGUGAAAAGUAUUAAUGCCUUUCUCUUGCCUUUAUAGCAUAUGGUUCUUUGAUAUAGCCAUUAUUUUUUCAUGUUUUCAUGUAGUUAGAAUUCCUUUGAACAUUAAAGCUCUAUGAAGCAGUAUUUCUAAAUAUGACUUGAAGAACUAAGUUAAAUGUAUAGCAAGAAUUUGCCUUUAGUAGUCAUUCUUUACACUUGCACAAUUAUGUAGUAAAUAUAUGUUUACAGGGUUUAUUGUGUUUACAGGUUAAGCUAAUUUCUGUAGUUGCAUUUUUAUAUUUUUAGUAUCACUUUAGUAAAAAAAAACCAAAUACCUUAUUAAAAAUAACCAAAGAGUAGUUGUAAUGCAUAAUUUGUGUUAAAUUUGUUACCAUAUUUCUUAGCUUUUUAAGACACUGUUUACUAUGAAAAUGAUGAUGUUUCAUUACAAGUCCAAAACUCUAGGCAAAAGGCUACAGGGAGAAUUCCGCUUUAACUGAAUUGAAGUACAGAAAGACACGCCCAUGCGUUCAACAAACAUUUACCGAAUGCCUGCCAUGCCCGUAGCGCUGUGCCAGGCCCUGGAGGUCAGAGUUGUUAGCUUCAGAGAAACCCAGUUCAGUUCUCAUCCUCAAGGAACUCAGAAAUGCGUAAAUGAAUUUGUGACUAGUUGAAAGUAGGGGUGACAGAACGAGGCCAAAAGGACACUGUGCACCUGCAAGGAUAGAGUGCGCCAGGAUUCCGUGAGUUUCAUCCUGGGAUUUACAUGAUUACUUAGCGGAUGCUCUUAAAAAAUUAAACCUAUUUCUCAAUAUAUCUUGGUGGUUUAGGAAAAAUUGUAAAUAUAUGUUAUGAAUCAUCUGAAUUACAUGUAUAUGCUCUGUGAAAACUGCAAAAAGUACUUCUGGCUAUUACUGGCUUCAGUUUGUUGGAGUAUAAUAUGGUGAGUACCCAUUAGCACCUGGUAGAGAGCUGCACUGUGGCUGUGGCAAAACCACUUUGCAGACGCCACAGCCUCAGCUUGGUUUAGGGAAGGCAAUCCAUGGAUCCACGCACCCCGCGUGAGUGUCUUCAGCAGUGUCCGCCAGCGUUCAGGUACGUCCGCCAGGUGUCCUUCUGGCUGUUCACCUAUACCUGUGUCAACAGAAGCAAGUUUUGUAACCUCUCUGGGCUCCUGUCUCUUCAUUUGUCAAGUGAAAGUAUCCACGCCCACCCUUAUCGUCAAAACUCGCGUGUUGUAAGUUCCCAAGAGAGGAGAUGUGGGAAAAGCUCUGUACAGGACUGGCCGUUAGAUUUGGUCGCAUCAGGAGUGCAGGCUGCCUGUGCCCCUAGGAAGAAUCGCCUCCUUUAAAACGGAAAGGACUUCUGAUAGACAAGGAAGCGGGAGCAUGCCUGCCGCACAUGCCCGUGUGUGUGUGUGUACCUCUCUGUGUCUCCACGUGGAUCUGACCGUCAGCAUUCAGUUUUCCACAUCAGCAAAGUAUUAUUAAAAUGGGGCAAUUCAUUUUGGAAAUGUACUCCCUGCAUAGAACUGAAUGUGAAAACUAUUUUUGUUAAAACAGAAUUUUACCAAAUGAUUAUUUAAAUAUCAUGUCUGUAAAUACAGCACAUGCCAGAAAUUGAGAAAAUACAAAGGUUUCAUUUCACCUGACCGACAGAUACCCAUAUGCCUGGUCCUGCUACUCAGAAAGAACCUGCUGUGAGUGGAACCAGACACUCUGCUGCCAGCUCCCAACUGUAACCCAUCAUUCCCUCCAUCUCCCAGGUGUGGGCCGGCAGCCCAGAAGGAGCCAGUAUCCAGCCACACAGCCCCACCUCCCAGACAGAAAAAUAUCUCAAAUGCAUUCUGCUGGCGAGUCAGUGGGGUCCUGGUCACUAAGCAAGGAUAUCCUAUUUUUCUAGACAUUGUAAGCACAUCACUUCAGCCUACAUUUUCUCUUUUCAAAAAAUUGUAACAGACUUCAAAUUAUAUUACAAAUGCAUCAUAACCAAAAUCUAAAUGGUAUUUGUUUCCAUGUAUUUAUAAUGCUGAAGUUAUUCCAUAUAAGUAUUAAACACAAUUCAUUUUGAUUAUAAACUAUUUGACUUUAAAAAAAAUCCGAGAUGAUAAAUACAUAUCAAGAUUAAUGUAUCAGAUGCAAACUUUAUAAAAUUUUUUAAAUCUGGAUUUCACAAAUAAAGCUCUAUUCUAAUUUUUAAAAGAAAACCUCUGACUCAUUUUUAAAUAGAAAUGUUUCCAAGCCAGUGUGCAGGAGAUGUCUUUCAGUGUAGCCCUUUUCACAAUGCCUAACACUUUUUUUUUUUUUUUAAGAUUUAUUUAUUUUAAAGGCAGAAAAAAGGAGAGUCAGAGAGAGGUCAUCCAUCCAGUGGUUCACUCCCCAAAUGGCCACAGCAGCCAGAGCUGGGCCGGUCCAAACCAGGAGCUUCAUCCAGGUCUCCCUUGUGGAUGCAGGGGCCCAAGAAGUCUGACCAUCUGCUGCUGCUUCCCCAGGCACAACAGCCAGAGCUACACCGAUCCGGAGCCAGGAGCCAGGAGCUUCGGGCCAUCCUUCACGGCUUUCCCAGGACAUAGUAGAGAGCUGGAUCAGAAGUGGAGCAGCCGGGACUCCAACUGGUGCCCAUAUGGGAUGCCGGCACCACAGGCAGCAGCUUUACCCUCUAUGCCACAGCACCAGCCCCAGUCUUUAUUUUAAAGACACACACAAAAAAAUAGAGUAUCUUUCCCUCCUUCAGCCCCCAGGGGUUUCCUGCGUAGAAGGGGGAAACUCACACUGCACCCCCUCAAGCCCGCCCUUAGAAAGGUGCUUACACGACCCCGUGUCCCUGCAAAAUCCAGACCGUAGCUUUCAGCCCUGGGGCCCAGGCCACUGCCUCCUCAGCUUCCACCCUCCCUGUUCCACAGUGGGGACAGUAACUAGCACACACCGUUCCUUUCCCACACCAGAAGCCCCUGAUGCAUUGUCCCUCGCCACAGAAAUUCAUUUGACAAGUGACAUUAAGCUAAGGUGUCAGAAUCUCAGGACCCCGGAUGAAUCUAGGGCAGGGGAUUGUGUGUGUGCCUCGCAAGUGCAGCGUGGCCACUGACCUAGGUGCCUCUCUCCGUGUCCACCACUCCGGCCCUGCAGUGUCCUCGAAGCCCCUGCAUCACACACCAGGGUGUCCUUUGUAAUGUGCAAGUCUGAUCAAGUUCCUCUAGUGCCAGAAGACCCCAGGAGCUUCCCGGAGUCAGAAGGAAGAAGCCUGGUCCCAUGCAUGGAAGGCAGUGUGUCCCCAGCCUAACCCAUCAGCUCUACCACAUAUCCUACCUCGCCGUGGCACCCUUCGUUCUGUCCAAACCAGGCUUCUUGCAGCCCCUAACAAACUUCUGUGCCUGCCCUGCCUGGGAUACGCGCACCCCUCAUCUCCGCCUGAGAUGUCACUCGUUUUGGGAGGGCACUGUAGCCUCCUCGAUUGGGUAUACACCAGCAUGGAUGACACUGCUACACUUCUUUGCAUAAUUCUCUCCUACAAAACUCCUGGCAGCCUGCGGACAGAGGAUGGUUUGUGUACCCUUUUUUCGUAUGUUCAUUUCCCAACAUAAAUACCUGAUGAACUUGAUCUGAUGAAUGCUGUCUGUGUAGACAGCCCAUAAAGCGCACAUUCAUCGAACACCCACGGUGAACCUGGAGCUCUGAAAUAACGUGCAGGAAGCUCUGCAUUUGAGCAGACGCUGGGGACUCCGUAAAUGUACGUGCGGAGAGGGACCUUGGUUGAGAGCCUGCCAAGUGCCCAGGUCUGCCAGUAAACACUUUAUGUGGAUCCCAUUUAAUCUUCAUAAAAACUCAGUGAGGCAGGUUUUAUAGGCUCCAGGAGGAGUAAUUCACCUGAGGCCACACAGUUCGUCAGCCCGUUGGAUGAGGAACCACAACAAGAAGAAAAGCUAUGGAGUCCAACAGAGAAAUAGCUACAAACUCAGCAGCUAAAAACAACAUGCAUUCUCUUGCGCUUCUGUGGCUCAGACGUCUUCGUGGGCUCAGCUGAGCUCUCUGCUCAGGGUCUCAAGACCAAAACCAAGCGUCAGCCAGCUGGGCGCUUACCUGCUUCCGUGGUCUUCCAGGUUGUUGGCAGAAUCCGGUUCCGUGGGGCUGUAGGUCUAAAGACCUUGCUCUCCUCGCUGCCUCUCAGCGUUGGGGGGCGGGGGGAGGUGAUGGCUUACCUAGAUGGCACCCACCUUCCUCAUCCUACACUCCGCUCCACCUCCAAGCCAACACUGCCUCUCUCACGCUGCAAAUCUCGCUUUCCUUUCCCUCCUGCAGCCCUUUUCCACCACCUGGUGUAGAAAGUCCUCUGCCUUCCAAGGCUUACUUGACUAGACUAGGCCCACCUGGCUGAUCUCCGGGGGUGAACAGCCACAGAGCCAGAUCUCAUCCCGCUCGCUCACAAGUCGCAGCAUUUAGCGGGGCAUCAGAUCGUCUGGAUUGGUCCUGGAAAAAUCCUACCGCCUGCGCAAGAUAAAAGCAAAGGACAGAGAGGUAAAGAGUAUAGAUUCUGCCUGAAAAGCACUUUGUCUUAUGUAGCGUGCUCUUCGGUUUUCCAUUCAUGUCAGUAAAAUACCAGACAGAUAAACAGCAGCUCGUAGAAUUCAACUUCAGCGGUUAGAAAUUCAUGAGUCACUACCACUGCUUUACGGUUUUUCUCAAUAGCAUCAGGGUUCAAUUGGCCUGAAGCUAGAAUCAGCUCAUCCUUAGGAGCUUCCUUAUUGUGCAGAGAGACAGCUGCCCUUUUCUGUUUGAGUGUUUGGUAUUCUUUCUAGCGAAAUCAUGUUUGGGGUUAUGAAGUGGGUCCAAAUCCAAAUACAGCCAAGAAAGGAUGAAAACAGUUCACAGCCCAGAGUUGCUAAUCAUUCAUCAUGGAUGUGUUGACACCUGCUUUAAAUAUCCAGCGAGAAGGGCAGGGGAGGGCCUCCAGAAGCCCAAGGAACUGACGGUUCCUGAGCAAUCUCACGACCCCAGAGCUGCAUUUUUUCUCCUUGUGAAGUUAAACAGAGAUCAAAGCUGGGACUGUAGGUGCAUGAGCGACCUUCAGUGCAUUACUUGGGUCCUGAUUUAAGUUCUCUUAGGAAAAAUUAUUAUCAAGGCCAACCCCAUGCCUUGCUGAGAGUUUUCUUUAAUAAGCACAUUUUAUAAAUGAGAAAUUCUUGUGUCUCUCAAACUAAUAAGAGGUAAUGAGCACCGUCGACUAAGGAUAAUCUCAGUUUAAACAGGAUUUUCAUUGAUUCAGGCUUGAAAACACAAUCCAGAUUAAUGACUUUCUUACUACUCAGUCACUGGGCACUGGUCCAAGUGUAGCAUAAAUAUUCUCCCAGACUUGAUGACAGUGAAAUAUCUGAUGUUUAGCCCUCUAAAGGGGUAACCAAGUUCUCAGUGAUGAAUGGCUAGCCGCCAAGUAGGUUUGCUUUUUCAGGAUUGCUGUUUGUUAUAACGGUGCAAUGCUGGUGACUAGAUGUUGCUGGUGUGUGGUUUUAAGCUCUGAGGAAUUCCGCAGUGUUUUAUCCUCUGUCUGCCUCCUCGGGAGAAGCAUGAGAAGAGAAAAAGAGAAAGCUCUGUUAACUCAGUCCCUACUGGGACUCAGAUAUCUGUGUCUGCCCCUAGGGUGAAAUUUGCAUACUUGCCCUAUUGCUGGCUGGGGACAAUGUGAAAAAGGAAGGAGGGUGGUUAUUGUAAGUCCUUCUAAUGACUGAUCUAGGCAUUGAGGAGAUAGGGAGGUGGGUGACUAGAGAAAUACACAGCAACACUGCCCUUCUUUAUAGCGUACAGUAAGGACUUGUGAGACUUUGCUUUGAGCCACGGGCUAGUCCAGAGCUAUGCAGCAGGCAUAUUGGUGAUGUGUAAUGGUAAUUAUAAUUUCUAAUUCAUAUCCAAAGGGUCAUUUCAACCUAUAAUCAAUUAUCAAAUUUUCAGCUUCUUAACACUUAAGUCUUCAAAAUCCAGAGUGUAUCUUGGGUUUACAGGACAUGUCAACUCACACUGGCCACAUUUCAAAUGGCCGCAUGCAUCUGGUGCUGCAGCGUUGGACAGAGACACUGGAAUGAAUGGGCCUUGAUCUGUGCUUCACUGGACACAAGGGUUCGAGAGGUGGAACAGCAGCAGGCAGAGGGUUGCCAGCAGCACCACCGUGCAGACUCCCCGGAUGCUGUCUUUUCGCUGGGUAGGGGAGGCUGGGUGGAUGCACCUAGAACAUUCCCUGCUGCUCUUGCCCCGGCCCAUCUGCAGAAUGGGAGCAGGUGGUAUGUGAGCAAGAGCAUUGCCAGGGUCUCCCUCUUCAGUGCUUGUGGAAAGAGGACUUCCCAGUCAAGGCUGUGGCUUUCUCUCUCCUGGCCUGGUGAGCAAAUUCUACUCCAAAGUCAGCCAUGCAUCUCACAAUGCCACCAACGAACUCUAUUAGGGGAGUCCAUAAUAGCUUUUUUAGAAAAUCUUUUCAAUAAUUUUAUCAUUUGAUGGGCAUUUAGAAUGUUCCAUUCAUAGAUCUAAAAUGUAAAAACAGACCUUUGUUCAACUUAAGGAAGUAUAGGGGCCAGCACUAUGGCACAGUGGGUUAAAGCCCCAGCCUGCAGCACCUGUAUCCCAUAUGGGCACUGGUUCAAGUCCCUGCUGCUCCUCUUCUGAUCCAGCUCUCUACUAUGGCCUGGGAAAGCAGUAGAAGAUGGUCCAAGUCCUUGGGCCCCUGCACCCACGUGCAAGACCCGGAAGAAGCUCCUGGCUUUGGAUCAGUUCAGCUCUGACCAUGUGGUUAUUUCAGGAAUGAACCAGCAGAAUGAAAGACCUCUCUUUCUCUCUCUCUCUGGUUCUACCUUUCUCUGUAACUCUGUCUUUCAAAUAAAUAAAAGCGAAUUCUUAAAAAAAAAAAAGAAAUAUAUAAGAACUUUGGAUAUAGACAUGGAAGGACCUUAUGUACAAGAAAACAAUGUCACCCUCUCCAAGCACCAGGCUCUCUAGCUUUGUUUUUAAAGAUUUAUUUAUUUAUUUGAAUGACAGAGUAAGGGGGAGGGAGAGAGAGAGAAUAUAUCUUCCAUUUGCUGCUUUAUUCUCCAAAUGGCCACCACUGGUGAGGGCUGGGCCAGGCCAAAGCUAGGAGCCUAGAACUCCAUCCAGGUCUCUAAUGCGGGUGUCAGGGGCCUAAGCACUUAGGCCACCUUCUGCUGACUUCCCAGGCAUGUUAGCAGGGAGCUGGACCAGAGUGGAGCCCCUAGAACUCCACCCUGCCCUCCUGUGGGAUGCCAGCAUUGCAAGCGGCAGCUUAACCCACUACACCACAACACUGGCCCCAAAGUAAGUUUUGUUAGCCGAUUUCUUAGAUAAAGACUGAGUAACUUGUCCUGAAUCACGCUGCUUCUAGGUAAUAGAAAACUGAAAUCUGUAUGUCAGAUCCAAAGCCUGUACUCCUUUGGUACAAAUUUGGUACAGAUAUUGUCUGUCAUUUCCAUGUGCUGGGCACCAUUCUAAGUCAGAAGGGCCCAACCCAAGAUAGGUGGGGCCUGCUUGCCUGCACCUGCAUGGGUUUGGAGAUCUUUGUUUUGUUUUUCGUUAGGAAGGGGAGAGAACUAUCCAACUGGUUCACACCCUAAAUGUCCACAACAGCUGAGAAUGAGCCAGGGUCAAAGCUGGGAGCUGGGACUCCCACUUGGGUGGCAGGGUCCCCAACACCUGAACUAUCACUACUGCCUCCCAGGGUACAUGUUAACAGGGUGCUGGAAAUUGGGACCCAGAGCCAGGACUGACACCUGGGGGUUCUGACACUGGAUGUUGUUGUCCUAACCAGCAUCUUGACUUCUUGACUAGGCAUCCACCCUUGUACUGAAAAUGUGUCGAAGGAAGAAACUAUAGCAUCCAAGAAUGAUUCAGUGGUGGGGGUGGGGGGUCUGAGGUCUGAGAUGAGAAAGGAGCAGGUGACCUUGGACCAAGAGUUGGAUCUGUGCCAGAACUUUCCAUAGGUGGACUCAGGACAGUCUGAUGGGGAGGGGGAUGGCGCCAGUUCACCCUUACCCCUGCCACACUGCUCGAACUUUGUGAAAAGCUCAGGUAAACAUCAGCCUAGAAGACUGCAGCUCAUUUCAGUGCAGACCAGCUGGAGUGAGUCUGGCGCUCAGUUGAGUGUCGUCUCAGCCACAUUCCUACAGCCAUGGAAUUCUCGAAGGACCAGGCUUCACAUCUCUGCUUAUGCCUGCAUCCUAUGUGGCUUUCACCUCAGUCUCCUCAUUGCUAAUAAUCACUGCUGUGUAGGGUUGUUAUGAGGGUGGCAUAGGAUGGUUUAUAGAAGUGUGCAGCACAGUGCUGGCAUGGUCUGAGCCUUCUACGCAGCUCUCUGGGUUUCUCUUCUAGUUAACUCAUUGCUCUGAUGUUUCCAGAUUUCCAACUCUAACUGCCUCCCCUCAGCAUGAACCCAUGCCCUGGUCAGCCUUGUCUUAAAAAACAAGACUAAACAAAUCUUUCUCCACCUACUUGGGGAGCUAUCAUCCUAGUGCUCUCUUCAUGGAGCCUCCAGUCUCCUUGAGAGAAGACUCAUGGACUGCCAGUUCCAAAAAAUAGAGAGUUUGUCUCAUGUAUUUCUCUGUC